CACACUAUCAUUAACUGAAUCCAUAGGUUAAUGAGGCGAACCGGGGGAACUGAAACAUCUAAGUACCCCGAGGAAAAGAAAUCAACCGAGAUUCCCCCAGUAGCGGCGAGCGAACGGGGAGGAGCCCAGAGCCUGAAUCAGUGUGUGUGUUAGUGGAAGCGUCUGGAAAGGCGCGCGAUACAGGGUGACAGCCCCGUACACAAAAAUGCACAUACUGUGAGCUCGAUGAGUAGGGCGGGACACGUGGUAUCCUGUCUGAAUAUGGGGGGACCAUCCUCCAAGGCUAAAUACUCCUGACUGACCGAUAGUGAACCAGUACCGUGAGGGAAAGGCGAAAAGAACCCCGGCGAGGGGAGUGAAAAAGAACCUGAAACCGUGUACGUACAAGCAGUGGGAGCCUCUUAAUGGGGUGACUGCGUACCUUUUGUAUAAUGGGUCAGCGACUUAUAUUCUGUAGCAAGGUUAACCGAAUAGGGGAGCCGAAGGGAAACCGAGUCUUAACUGGGCGUUAAGUUGCAGGGUAUAGACCCGAAACCCGGUGAUCUAGCYAUGGGCAGGUUGAAGGUUGGGUAACACUAACUGGAGGACCGAACCGACUAAUGUUGAAAAAUUAGCGGAUGACUUGUGGCUGGGGGUGAAAGGCCAAUCAAACCGGGAGAUAGCUGGUUCUCCCCGAAAGCUAUUUAGGUAGCGCCUCGUGAAUUCAUCUCCGGGGGUAGAGCACUGUUUCGGCAAGGGGGUCAUCCCGACUUACCAACCCGAUGCAAACUGCGAAUACCGGAGAAUGUUAUCACGGGAGACACACGGCGGGUGCUAACGUCCGUCGUGAAGAGGGAAACAACCCAGACCGCCAGCUAAGGUCCCAAAGUCAUGGUUAAGUGGGAAACGAUGUGGGAAGGCCCAGACAGCCAGGAUGUUGGCUUAGAAGCAGCCAUCAUUUAAAGAAAGCGUAAUAGCUCACUGGUCGAGUCGGCCUGCGCGGAAGAUGUAACGGGGCUAAACCAUGCACCGAAGCUGCGGCAGCGACGCUUAUGCGUUGUUGGGUAGGGGAGCGUUCUGUAAGCCUGUGAAGGUGGCCUGUGAGGGUUGCUGGAGGUAUCAGAAGUGCGAAUGCUGACAUAAGUAACGAUAAAGCGGGUGAAAAGCCCGCUCGCCGGAAGACCAAGGGUUCCUGUCCAACGUUAAUCGGGGCAGGGUGAGUCGACCCCUAAGGCGAGGCCGAAAGGCGUAGUCGAUGGGAAACAGGUUAAUAUUCCUGUACUUGGUGUUACUGCGAAGGGGGGACGGAGAAGGCUAUGUUGGCCGGGCGACGGUUGUCCCGGUUUAAGCGUGUAGGCUGGUUUUCCAGGCAAAUCCGGAAAAUCAAGGCUGAGGCGUGAUGACGAGGCACUACGGUGCUGAAGCGACAAAUGCCCUGCUUCCAGGAAAAGCCUCUAAGCAUCAGGUAACAUUAAAUCGUACCCCAAACCGACACAGGUGGUCAGGUAGAGAAUACCAAGGCGCUUGAGAGAACUCGGGUGAAGGAACUAGGCAAAAUGGUGCCGUAACUUCGGGAGAAGGCACGCUGAUAUGUAGGUGAAGCGACUUGCUCGUGGAGCUGAAAUCAGUCGAAGAUACCAGCUGGCUGCAACUGUUUAUUAAAAACACAGCACUGUGCAAACACGAAAGUGGACGUAUACGGUGUGACGCCUGCCCGGUGCCGGAAGGUUAAUUGAUGGGGUUAGCGGUAACGCGAAGCUCUUGAUCGAAGCCCCGGUAAACGGCGGCCGUAACUAUAACGGUCCUAAGGUAGCGAAAUUCCUUGUCGGGUAAGUUCCGACCUGCACGAAUGGCGUAAUGAUGGCCAGGCUGUCUCCACCCGAGACUCAGUGAAAUUGAACUCGCUGUGAAGAUGCAGUGUACCCGCGGCAAGACGGAAAGACCCCGUGAACCUUUACUAUAGCUUGACACUGAACAUUGAGCCUUGAUGUGUAGGAUAGGUGGGAGGCUUUGAAGUGUGGACGCCAGUCUGCAUGGAGCCGACCUUGAAAUACCACCCUUUAAUGUUUGAUGUUCUAACGUGGGCCCCUUACCGGGGUUGCGGACAGUGUCUGGUGGGUAGUUUGACUGGGGCGGUCUCCUCCUAAAGAGUAACGGAGGAGCACGAAGGUUGGCUAAUCCUGGUCGGACAUCAGGAGGUUAGUGCAAUGGCAUAAGCCAGCUUGACUGCGAGCGUGACGGCGCGAGCAGGUGCGAAAGCAGGUCAUAGUGAUCCGGUGGUUCUGAAUGGAAGGGCCAUCGCUCAACGGAUAAAAGGUACUCCGGGGAUAACAGGCUGAUACCGCCCAAGAGUUCAUAUCGACGGCGGUGUUUGGCACCUCGAUGUCGGCUCAUCACAUCCUGGGGCUGAAGUAGGUCCCAAGGGUAUGGCUGUUCGCCAUUUAAAGUGGUACGCGAGCUGGGUUUAGAACGUCGUGAGACAGUUCGGUCCCUAUCUGCCGUGGGCGCUGGAGAACUGAGGGGGGCUGCUCCUAGUACGAGAGGACCGGAGUGGACGCAUCACUGGUGUUCGGGUUGUCAUGCCAAUGGCACUGCCCGGUAGCUAAAUGCGGAAGAGAUAAGUGCUGAAAGCAUCUAAGCACGAAACUUGCCCCGAGAUGAGUUCUCCCUGACUCCUUGAGAGUCCUGAAGGAACGUUGAAGACGACGACGUUGAUAGGCCGGGUGUGUAAGCGCAGCGAUGCGUUGAGCUAACCGGUACUAAUGAACCGUGAGGCUUAACCUUACAACGCCGAAGGUGUUU
rnacentral:rRNA from 1 species